GUAGAUAUGUGGAAGAACACCAGUGGCGAAAGCGGCUUGCUAGAUCGUAACUGACGUUGAGGCUCGAAAGUAUGGGUAGCAAACGGGAUUAGAUACCCCGGUAGUCCAUACCGUAAACGAUGGGUGCUAGUUGUUAAGAGGUUUCCGCCUCCUAGUGACGUAGCAAACGCAUUAAGCACCCCGCCUGAGGAGUACGGCCGCAAGGCUAAAACUUAAAGGAAUUGACGGGGACCCGCACAAGCGGUGGAGCAUGUGGUUUAAUUCGAAGAUACGCGAAAAACCUUACCAGGUCUUGACAUACCAAUGAUCGCUUUUGUAAUGAAAGCUUUUCUUCGGAACAUUGGAUACAGGUGGUGCAUGGUCGUCGUCAGCUCGUGUCGUGAGAUGUUGGGUUAAGUCCCGCAACGAGCGCAACCCUUGUUAUUAGUUGCCAGCAUUUAGUUGGGCACUCUAAUGAGACUGCCGGUGAUAAACCGGAGGAAGGUGGGGAC
rnacentral:rRNA from 1 species